AUAUCUCUCUGUACGGGAAGGAUGAGAAGCUUCGACCAAGGUUCGAUUCGAGCGCAGCGAGAAAGCGUUGCCGCAGGCAACGACCCGAAGGGCGAAGCGCGCAGCGCUG
rnacentral:sRNA from 2 species